AGCAGGAGGCACAGGUGGACACGGGGCUUCUCAGCGCCCUCUUUGUCCAAAGCGGGCGCCUCAGUCUUUGGCAGUCGUUGUUAUGUUCUCAUGAUGUGGAAAGCUGUGGAGUCAUUGCGUUGUGCCAGAAUCUUAAUCCAGUCUGCACCUAUGGCUGUGUUCAACGAUUCUCUGAUUAUGGCUCAAGUACUGGCAGUAGCUUGCAGAAAGCUGGCUGGUCACACCAUCCUGGAAUUCUUCUAAUAUAAUCAGCUAUGUCUAAACAUAAGCAGUGCCUACCGGCCCCAGUUACACAUUGCUGCCUAGCAAAAUGGUGCAUGCGGACAUAACUGAAGAGAGAACAUGAAGAAUCAAUAACGUCAGAGUAUCUUGCUCAGAAGGCCAAAUGGAAAAGCAAUGUUGCCCAGCCUGCUUUACAGCUGCAAAGAGCACAACACAUAUGGAAGAGAGCAUUUCCCUAAGUGGAAAACCAGUGAUAAGCUAAGCAGCUCACGCCGAGCCCUGUGUCCAGUAGCAGCCGUGAAGGCCCAUUGCUCUGGAGGAGCAGCAGCUUCGAGGAGCCAUCAUUGCCACCUGCUGCAGAAGCUCCUGCUCUACAGCCCAAACUGAUUUCCAGCUCUUCCUCCGCAGGCCUGACACACGGGGAGCCUGCCCUCUGCUCCUCCUGCGCUGCAGCCCGCUGCUUGCAAGCGGCCUUUCAGGCACAUCCACGUCCCUUGCCACAAGCUCAGCGCAGCAGAUACCCUCCUCCGAAGCCUCGCUUCAGUUCUAACCGCAAACCGAACUGAAGUGAGAUGUGUGUCAACUCUGCGUGAUGAGCACAGUAUGCAACAGGAAGUUUAAAGCAAAAAACCUAAAACAUAGUCCUCGCUGACCUUAGAGGACGAAUAGCUCAUUCCAGCAAAUGUGGUUAACUACCACACGUCGCACGAAGUCAUUAAUCUAGUCUACCGAGGGAACAUUUCUCUCUCACACAGAGUGACCAAUCCCUACAAAAAGCUUCCCCCAUGGGAAAAGCUCUGCAGCAGAAAAAACCUGAAAGGGCAAUAGGCUCAACCACAGCACCAUCACAGCAACAGGUUUCUUUAAUACUUAUGCUUUCCAGUUGACCUGUAGAAGAGGGGAAGAAGGGAGGGGAAGAAGAGGGCAGGGAUUUCUGUUUCUGCUUUGGCUGUUUUACUUCAGCUUCCACACCCAUCUCAUCUCAGAAAUGUCCUCCUUCCUCUUGAACCUUAAAGCUUGAUGUUCCUGUCGUCCUAGCAAAGUUCCACGCUGUCAGCCGUCAACACCAAAUCUAAGCGUUUUACAUGCCAAAAACCAGAAAGACUGGAAUGAACCCCUUUAGCAGACUAUAAAACCCCUCUCUCCUCUUUUUCGCUGGAAUUCUCCUCAGAACGAUCAAAGAGCAGUAGCUCUCUCCACCUUUAAAACAUCAGUAGCGUUGAAACUUUAACAAAGAGGAUGCCUACGCUGCAGCCCGCGGGGUAGGCAGAGCCAGGUGACCCACCUAAGGCUCGUGUGCUCGAAGCACUCGUGCCGCAGCAAUGCUCAACGCAGCCUCGGACAGCUCGGUUCGUUGAAAAUUAACCUGCACUGAGCUCCGGUCACUGAGGACAGACUGCUUCCAGCAUCUAAGCCAGGCAUCUUAAAAGUAGGCUUAGCUUUUCUAAGCUGCACUGCAGACUGCAGUGCAGUCUCCAUUGUAAACAUACCCCAAGUCUUUCCACUCAAAAUUUUAAUUUGGCCAUGAGAAAAAAAAUAGUUUUAACCAAAGCAAAGUACAGAAAGUCCAAGUAACAAGGCACAUGCCAGGGAUUACAAUUCCUGUAAUAUCUCCGUAAGCCUUUUGUUCUCUUGUAUCCCGGGCUCCUCAGCCAUGCCUUCUGGGUGCUGCAGUUUAAAACAGGCUAAUUUAAGUCUUACCAAAGUCACUGAGAACCUGUCUACUGAUUUUAUAGAAGCUAAAUUCGGCAUUUUUACUACUACUGUCAUGUAAAUAAGGAUACAAGAAGAUCA